UAGCUUCAGUAGCUCAUAUGUUAAAAUUAGAACAAAACAGAGAAAAUUACCAUGGCCCCUGCACAAGGAUAAAAUGCAAGUUUGUGGAAUGUUCCAUAUUUUU
ensembl:snRNA U6 U6 spliceosomal RNA